rnacentral:rRNA from 1 species
GACGUAGGGGGCGAGCGUUGUCCGGAUUCAUUGGGCGUAAAGCGCGCGUAGGCGGCCCGGUAAGUCGGAUGUGAAAUCUCACGGCUCAACCGUGGAACUGCAUUCGAAACUGUCGGGCUAGAGGCAGGUAGGGGAGAUCGGAAUUCCCGGUGUAGCGGUGAAAUGCGCAGAUAUCAGGAGGAACACCGGUGGCGAAGGCGGGACUCUGGGCCGAUACUGACGCUGAGGAGCGAAAGCGUGGGGAGCAAACAGG